rnacentral:rRNA from 1 species
UAUCAAUAAGCGAACCGUUAGGAGACAACAGGGAUUACCUCAGUAACGGCGAGUGAAGCGGUAACAGCUCAAAUUUGAAAUCUGGCCUCACGGUCCGAGUUGUAAUUUGUAGAGGAUGCUUCGAGCAUGGUCUGGCCUAAGUUCCUUGGAACAGGACGUCAUAGAGGGUGAGAAUCCCGUAUGCGGCCAGGUGCCUACGCUCAUGUGAAGCUCCUUCGACGAGUCGAGUUGUUUGGGAAUGCAGCUCAAAAUGGGUGGUAAAUUUCAUCUAAAGCUAAAUAUUGGCCAGAGACCGAUAGCGCACAAGUAGAGUGAUCGAAAGAUGAAAAGCACUUUGGAAAGAGAGUUAAACAGUACGUGAAAUUGUUGAAAGGGAAGCGCUUGCAACCAGACUUGCGCGCGGCCGAUCAUCCGGUGUUCUCACCGGUGCACUCGGCCGUGCUCAGGCCAGCAUCGGUUUUGGCGGCUGGAUAAAGGCCCUAGGAAUGUAGCUCCUCUCGGGGAGUGUUAUAGCCUAGGGUGCAAUGCAGCCUGCUGGGACCGAGGACCGCGCUUCGGCUAGGAUGCUGGCGUAAUGGUUGUAAGCGGCCCGUCUUGAAACACGGACCAAGGAGUCUAACAUCUAUGCGAGUGUUUGGGUGUCAAACCCAUACGCGUAAUGAAAGUGAACGGAGGUGAGAACCCUUAAGGGUGCAUCAUCGACCGGUCCUGAAGUUUACGGAAGGAUCUGAGUAAGAGCAUAGCUGUUGGGACCCGAAAGAUGGUGAACUAUGCCUGAAUAGGGUGAAGCCAGAGGAAACUCUGGUGGAGGCUCGCAGCGGUUCUGACGUGCAAAUCGAUCGUCAAAUUUGGGUAUAGGGGCGAAAGACUAAUCGAACCAUCAGGGG